rnacentral:rRNA from 1 species
UGAAUACGAGAUGCUACGGCGUCGAAGCAGUCUAUGUCAUACUUCCAAGAAAAGCUUGCACUGUCAUAAACAAAUAAUGCCUGUACCAUAACCGACACAGGUGGGUAGGUAGAGUAUACUAAGGGGCGCGAGAUAACUCUCUCUAAGGAACUCGGCAAAAUGACUCCGUAACUUCGGGAGAAGGAGUGCCUUAUUUUAUAAGGUUGCAAUAACAAGAUCCAAGCAACUGUUUACCAAAAACACAGGUCUCCGCUAAGUCGUAAGACGAUGUAUGGGGGCUGACGCCUGCCCAGUGCCAGAAGGUUAAAGAAGUUGGUUAGCAUCCGCGAAGCUGAUAACUGAAGCCCUGGUGAACGGCGGCCGUAACUAUAACGGUCCUAAGGUAGCGAAAUUCCUUGUCGGGUAAGUUCCGACCCGCACGAAAGGCGUAAUGAUUUGGAUACUGUCUCAGAGAGGGGCUCGGUGAAAUAGACUUGUCUGUGAAGAUGCGGACUACCUGCACCAGGACAGAAAGACCCUAUGAAGCUUUACUGUAACUUGAAAUUGAAAUUGGACUUUACUUGCGCAGUAUAGGUGGGAGGCGUUGAGAAUAUUCUUGCGGGAAUGUUGGAGCCAUCAGUGAGAUACCACUCUUGUAAUGUUAGAUUUCUAACUUUGUAUCAUUAUCUGGUCAAAGGACAGUUUCAGGCGGGCAGUUUGACUGGGGCGGUCGCCUCCCAAACGGUAACGGAGGCGCACAAAGGUUUCCUCUGAACGGGUAGAAAUCGUAUCUAGAGUGUAAAGGCAUAAGGAAGCUUGACUGUGAGACCUACAAGUCGAGCAGGGACGAAAGUCGGUCUUAGUGAUCUGACGGUGCUGAGUGGAAAGGCCGUCACUCAACGGAUAAAAGUUACUCUAAGGAUAACAGGCUGAUCUCCCCCAAGAGUUCACAUCGACGGGGAGGUUUGGCACCUCGAUGUCGGCUCAUCGCAUCCUGGGGCGGUAGUACGUCCCAAGGGUUGGGCUGUUCGCCCAUGAAAGCGGUACGCGAGCUGGGUUCAGAACGUCGUGAGACAGUUCGGUCCAUAUCCGGUGUAGGCGUUAGAAUAUUGAGAGGAGCCUUCUUUAGUACGAGAGGACCGAGAAGGACAUACCUCUGGUGUACCAGUUAUCGUGCCAACGGUAAACGCUGGGUAGCUAUGUAUGGAGUGGAUAACCGCUGAAAGCAUCUAAGUGGGAAGCCCACCUCAAGAUAAGUAUUCAC